UUACCGUAUAUAGGAAGGUACCGUUAUAUCGGAGCUAUACGAAUACCUGGACCUGCAUAGACAAUUUUCUGUUACAGACUGUAGCAUCUUUUACGAACUUCAAAUACGACAUCUCAAGCAAUUUCGGUGAGUAUUGCACCUUAAAUCGUCACAGACUGUAGUUCCCAUUACGAACUUCAAAUACCAAAUUCGGAACAAUUUCGGUGAAUAAUGAUGCUAAAAUCUUCAAAAUAGCGAAUAUUGGGAGUGUAUAAGUUCGAUACGUUCCACCACAACUUUCCAAUACUCGUCAAUCACGGAUGCUGAUUGGCACACUGGCAUCUCCCUUAGCGGAUACCGUAGUGAGCGGAUCGCCGCUGGGUAUUGUUUGUUGGCGAUAGGCUCACCUUGCGCUCAUUGGAAGUAGUUGUAGUUGUAAUAAUAUACAGACAUGGGACCCUCAGCGGUCACUCAGAACCUCUGCGUUCACUUGUCUGUAUUUGCAUAUGUAUUAGAAAUAGACAAGUGAUCCUCUGCGAUCACUUAGAACCUCUGCGUUCACUUGUCUUGUAGAAUCGAAAGCGAAAGCACACGGCCUCUGUCGCCACCCUAAUUACUAAAGGUAAUUGUCGUUGAAAAGAGAGAACACCAAUAAAACUAUGAAAUCAUAUAUUGAAUUACACUAAUUUUAUUUCUGAGUUUUAUUCUUUGUAUAUUUUCUUUCUUAGUUUCUUAUCACCACACACGCGUAUCACCUGCACCUCACCACAUCUCUCACCUACACAUCGCAUACCUCAUUCUCACAUCAUAAAAAACUCUGGGGAGUUUUGUUGUCGCUGCCGCUAAUCGAAGCCAUUCUUCCCCCACUCCCCUGAGUUAAACAUUGGUCGCAUCGAGCCGGAUUGAAGCCAUCCCCUUGUCGUUGCUCCCUGCAUUGCAUGAAGAAAUCACUGGAUUCUCUUUCAUCAGUACAAUUAACUCUAAGAAACAGGUACGUAAAUUCAGAUUACCAUUUGAAGUGAGCUACCCGCGGUUCCUUAGUGAAUAUUUAAAUUUUUUCGGUUUGGUCGAAUCGCAAAUGCUCUCUCGCCUUAUCUGAAGAAGAAUUUGCAUCUCCACAUUUGUUAUUACAACACACAUAAAUAUUUCAUCACAUUCGGUCGUUUGGUUUAUUUUUUUUUUUGCAUUCCUCACCAACCAAACUGUGCUGUAAUUCUAACUCCAAUAUUUCUUUCCCCCCUCUAAAGGCUGAGCCCUGUAAUGAGAAUUUUUUGUUUCUAAUUUACAAAAACAACGCACAUAUAAUAACAGUCCACAUCUCUGUCGGUUGGUUAUUUGUCGUCCUCUCCAACAACACUUGAUUUGUUGCAAUUCUCCUUCGUUUUCUUAACGUUGAUCAAUUCUCACUUGAGAAUUUACAUUGCCAAAAAUUGCAACAACAAUAUAUCAUCAUUCCACGCGCCCUUUUUAGUGUCGGUUUGAUAUUCAGUAAAAAUAACAACAAAGUGUUUUGAUCUCCAACACUCACUCUUGGAUCGUUUGUGGCGUCGCUUGUUGUGUGGGUGCGUAGCUGCUUACGCAUAGUCAUUUCUCUGCCGACGUCGUUUGUGUUUUAUUCCUCUUUGUGCGAUAUCCGUUGUUGGUUCGGCACAGUGGGAUAAAACAGCACAAAUUGUGAAUUUUUUGCAAUUUAUUUUAGAAUUUAUUUUUUGUUAAUUUUGUGAUAUAUUUUUGACUAGUAGUACGGUUUUUGGAAUUUUUGGACAAAUUCACCCUACCUUCGGCAUUCUUUGCAGGCAUAUUUAGUAACAUAUAUUGGUGAAAAUUAAUAGUUUUUUCUUGCUAGAUUUGCAAAAUUUGUAAAUAUAAUUUAACAUUUGGCUGAACAAUUGCAACCUAGUAGGGUUUUUGGAAUUUUUGGACAAAUUCACCCUACAUUAGGAAUUCUUUGUAGAUAUUUUCAGAACAAACAUUAGUCGAUAAUAUUCGUUUGUGGCUAUUUUCUUCAAUUUUUUGGGCAAUUUAUUAGUAGCUGUUGCUACUAUUUGUGAUCCUCUGUAGGGUUUGGGUAUUUUUUGGAAGAAUACACCCUACAUUCGGCAUAAACUUUAAAAAUUUACCAAAUUUAGCAUUAAAUAUUUCGUAGAGUUAGUCGAUUUUGCAAGUCACGUUGUAAAUCUGAAACAUCGUAUUGGUCUUAAGGUUUUUGAAAGUCGUACAUAUAUUUUGUAAAAUAACCUUCAGUUGGAGUCAAGUUUUUCAGUUUUUGAAAUUUGUCAUUUCCGUUCAAUAAUGGCAACCUUUGUCAGAUUUGUCUUUCUUUUGCAUAUAGUUUGUAUUGUUUUUGUUAUAAACAGUAACAAAAUGUCGAUAACGCCAGUUACUCGCUUUGUUAGAGCUUCUAACACUCUUCUCAAAUCUGUUGAAUUCUACGAACAGAAAAAAGAAUCUCAAUUUAGUGUAUGUAAUCUCGAAAUUCGAAUUACGGAAAUUCAAGAAUUGUGGGAUAAGGUCUUGCAUACUUACACUGAGUGCAAAAACUACCUCACGGCAUGGGAGACUGCACAGGUUGAUAAUGGGCGUUGAGGACUAAUAUAAUAAUUCAUUUAUCGCAUACCAUUGGUAUUUGACCACAAGUAAGCGGCAUCUGGCUCGUCUCAAUUCACCCGUCUAUAAGAAUUGUUCUGCUGUAGCUCCUCCUCCUAAUAAUGGUAAUUUUACACCACCUUCAGGCUUGCUUUUGAGCGAACCUAACUUUUCGGUUCCUGUGCAGUCUGCUUCUCCACCCGUUAGUACUUGCUACAAAUCUCCGAUUAAUAUAAGUUCCAAUUCACCCUUCGAAAAUCAUUGUUUCAUAUUGCAACCUAUUGAUAUCGAAGUCUUUGCUUGUGAUUUUGUAUCUUGGCCCACUUUUCGAGACCUAUUUACCACCCUGUUCGUUAGUAAUUCAGGCCAAGGCAAAUUAUAGUUUCCCCUUAGCGUGGAAAGUUUUGUCCGAUGCGUAUGACAAUAAGGGCAUCGUGGUGAAUAGUCACAUAAAAAGUUUGUUUGAUAUUCCACUUUUAAAGUUUGAAACUUGUUCGGGAUUGAAAACUAUCCAACGUGGCAUAAAUAGCUGCUUUGCUGCAAUGGCCGUCUAUGACGUCGCCACGGAUCAGUGGGAUCCAAUUCUUGUACAUAUCUGUUUGCAGCGCUUGCCCUUAACCACCUUGACUUUGUGGGAGCAAAGCAUCAAAAAUAAGUCGUUGUUGCCUUCCUGGCCAGAUUUAGAUGCUUUCCUCUCAGACAGAAUACUAACUUUGCAAUGCAUUCAAAAUUUGCGUAAAAGUCCGUCCACCAAAGUUGUUGUUUCUCCCAAUUCCUCAUUGUCGCCAAAGCAUGUUACUCCUCCCAGACCUGCAAAGAAAUCGUUAUCAAAGUGUGGUUCACCGCAUCGAUCCUUAGCAUCCAAGCAUGCUUGUACAUCUAGUUCCACCAUUAACAAGUUAAAUGAGCCUGUUUCUUCUUCUCGGCCAAACACUUAUUGCUCCAUUUGUCCUAUCGAGAAUCAUGUUCUUCGACUCUGCCCCAAGUUUAUAAAACUUUCGUUUGAGGACAAAUUCUUGAUUGUGAAAAAGAAUAAGUGUUGUAUAAAUUAACUUUCGCGUGUCGCGUUAAACAUUGUCGCAGUACCAAUAGUUGCAAAUCUUGCAAGCAAAGGCAUCACAGCCUUCUUCAUCGGCCACAAUCUACUGUAGUUGUUGCAGCAUCACGCUCAAAACCAUCUCUGGUUUCUAAUAAUUCUAAAAGUCGAAAAUCUUCGCUGUUCUGCAAGUCUGCUCAAAAUCUGGUUUGGAAUUCUAAGAAAUUACCUCCGGCCUUUACCAAAGUCAAAAGUCGAGGUUCAAUGUCCCCUCCGGCUUUUACGAAGGUCAAAAGUCGAGGCCAAAACCCCUCUAAAACGCACCCACCCUCUGCUAAAAAUAGUUCCAGCCAGUCUCCCAACACCACUGAAGAUAAUGUGCUAAUGGGAACUGCACUAGUAAACAUUGUCCAUAAUAGCAAAUCGUACACUGCUCGAGCAAUUGCAGAUCCUUCUUCCAAGGCAUCAAUUGUUAGUAAAAAAACUUAAAAAUAAACUUGGCAUUUUAACUCAAUCUGAGACUACUUGUUCUAAAGCUGUUGCACAAGAGAAGCUUGUUCUCUUCAAUUGUCUUCCCCUAAAAAUUCAUAUAGAAUUGUCAAAACUAAAGCUUUAGUCUUACCUAAAAUCAAGGGGAAGUUGUUCUCGUCACCAUCUUUUUGUGAUUUAAAAACUCGAAUUCCUAAUCUUGAUUUAGCGGAUUCUUUCGAUAAUAGCCCAAUAGAUUUGCUGCUUGACGCUGACCUAUAUCCUAAGAUACUCGAAGCUGAACCACCCCAAAUUGUUUUGGAUUCGUUGCUGGCCCAAAAGUCUAUUUUCGGGUACAUUCUCACCGGUUCAGUACCUCCCGCGACUGUUACAUAAUCUCGCACCAAAAAUUGAAGUCGAACAUUUCUUAAAAUAAUGUAUAUCGCUUAAAAUUUAAAAAUAUUACAUGCACUAAACAUUGAAAUUGUAAAACUAAAUUAAAUCGAUUGUGUCAUAAUUUGAAAAUCUGCAACUGUAGCUCACUUAGGAAUCUGAAUUUACGUUCUCUCCUAACUUAUAACACUUUCUGAUAUAGAUUGCGAGACUCUUAGUUCUAGCAAGGGGGCCGGAAUGUAUAUGUUCGAUACGUUCCACCACAACUUUCCAAUACUCGUCAAUCACGUAUGCUGAUUGGCACACUGGCAUCUCCUCUACAACUCCCUUGGCGGAUACCGUAGUGAGCAGAUCGCCGCUGGGUAUUGUUUGUUGGCGGUAGGCUCACCUUGUGUUCAUUGGAAGUAGUUGUAGUUGUAAUAAUAUACAGACAUGGGACCCUCAGCGGUUACUCAGAACCUCUGCGUUCACUUGUCUGUAUUUGCAUAUGUAUUAGAAAUAGACAAGGGAUCCUCUGCGAUCACUUAGAACCUCUGCGUUCACUUGUCUUGUAGAAACGAAAGCGAAAGCACACGGCCUCUGUCGCCACCCUAAUUACUAAAGUUUCUCAUCACCACACACGCGUAUCACCUGCACCUCACCACAUCUCUCACCUACACAUCGCAUACCUCAUUCUCACAUCAUAAAAAACUCUGGGGAGUUUUGUUGUCGCUGCCGCUAAUCGAAGCCAUUCUUCCCCCACUCCCCUGAGUUAAACAGGGAGGAACCAUUAUAUGGGGCUAUAUGAAGACGAGGACCUGCACAGACAAUUUUCUGUCAUAGGUUGUACUAUCCAUUACGAAAUGACAAAUUUGAAACAAUUCCGGUGAAUAAUGAUGCUACAAUAAAAAAAUACCAAAUAUUGGCAGGUACCCUUAUAUGGGGGCUA